rnacentral:tRNA from 1 species
AACGGGAUAGAGUAAAAUGGUUAACUCAUUAGACUCAUGAUCUAAAACUACAGGUUCGAGUCCUGUUCCCGUAA